rnacentral:rRNA from 1 species
UGAAUACGAUAUGCUACGGCGUCGAAGCAGUGUAUGUCAGACUUCCAAGAAAAGCUCGCAAUGUCAUAAAUAAAGAAUGCCUGUACCAUAACCGACACAGGUGGGUAGGUAGAGUAUACUAAGGGGCGCGAGAUAACUCUCUCUAAGGAACUCGGCAAAAUUACUCCGUAACUUCGGGAGAAGGAGUGCCUUCUUUAAGAAGGUUGCAAUAACAAGAUCCAAGCAACUGUUUAUCAAAAACACAGGUCUCCGCUAAGUCGUAAGACGAUGUAUGGGGGCUGACGCCUGCCCAGUGCCAGAAGGUUAAAGAAGUUGGUUAGCUUUUGCGAAGCUGAUGACUGAAGCCCUGGUGAACGGCGGCCGUAACAAUAACGGUCCUAAGGUAGCGAAAUUCCUUGUCGGGUAAGUUCCGACCCGCACGAAAGGCGUAAUGAUUUGGAUACUGUCUCGGAGAGGGACUCGGUGAAAUAGACUUGUCUGUGAAGAUGCGGACUACCUGCACCAGGACAGAAAGACCCUAUGAAGCUUUACUGUAACUUGAAAUUGAAAUUGGACUUUAUUUGCGCAGUAUAGGUGGAAGGCGUUGAAAGUAAUCUUGCGGGAUUAGUGGAGCCAUCAGUGAGAUACCACUCCUAUAAUGUUAGAUUUCUAACUUUGGAUCAUGAUCUGGUCAAAGAACAGUUUCAGGCGGGCAGUUUGACUGGGGCGGUCGCCUCCCAAAUGGUAACGGAGGCGUACAAAGGUUUCCUCUGAACGGGUAGAAAUCGUAUCUAGAGUGUAAAGGCAUAAGGAAGCUUGACUGUGAGACCUACAAGUCGAGCAGGGACGAAAGUCGGUCUUAGUGAUCUGACGGUGCUGAGUGGAAAGGCCGUCACUCAACGGAUAAAAGUUACUCUAGGAUAACAGGCUGAUCUCCCCCAAGAGUUCACAUCGACGGGGAGGUUUGGCACCUCGAUGUCGGCUCAUCGCAUCCUGGGGCGGUAGUACGUCCCAAGGGUUGGGCUGUUCGCCCAUGAAAGCGGUACGCGAGCUGGGUUCAGAACGUCGUGAGACAGUUCGGUCCAUAUCCGGUGUAGGCGUUAGAAUAUUGAGAGGAGCCUUCUUUAGUACGAGAGGACCGAGAAGGACAUACCUCUGGUGUACCAGUUAUCGUGCCAACGGUAAACGCUGGGUAGCUAUGUAUGGAGAGGAUAACCGCUGAAAGCAUCUAAGUGGGAAGCCCACCUCAAGAUGAGUAUUCUC